AUCAUCAUCGUCUAGUGGUUUAGGAUACCAGGUUUUUAUCAUCAAAUGAAAGCCUGGGGACCAGAGUUUGAACCUCUACGAUGGUC